UUCUCCUCAGCUUUGGGAUGUUAAUCCAGCCCGUUUGAUCUGCAGCAAUUUGUCCUUGGUUAGCCUGCUGAAGGAUGUCGUCCAUGUUUCGCUCCAGCUCAUCCCAUCCUCCCAUGGGACAGGGAAGGGAAAUGGCUGCAGAGGAGCCAGUUCAGGGGCCGGUGACCUUUGAGGAGGUGUCUGUGUAUUUCACCCGGAGAGAGGGGGCUCUGCUGGACCCCACUCAGAGAGCCUUCUACAGGGAUGUCAUGCAGGAGAACUAUGAGAAUGUG